GGCUGUGGUUAUUUGUCUUCAGCUCUGACUUCAAACCCCUCACACCUGAGAGAGCUGGAUCUGAGCUACAAUCAUCCUGGAGAUUCAGGAGUGAAGCUGCUCUCUGAAAAACUGGAGGACUCAACCUGCUCAUUGGACAAACUGAAUGUGGAUCAUGGAGAAGAUUCCAGGAUUACAGAAGGACCAAAGAAAUGGUUGUGUUUUCUCACACUGGAUCCAAACACAGCACACACUCAACUCAGUCUGUCUGAG